AUUUUCUUCCAUCCUCCUGUUUAAGAGAAACCUGGUCAUCAAAAGGAGAGUCAAGUACACUGCGGCAAUUUCUACAGAGGAUUUAGCUUUCAUGGAGCAACAUUGAAGAGGAGGUUGCCGAAUAAACAACAUCCAACUUUGGAUGAUCACACGGCUGUAUGACAGCAAGUCCAAUUGGAAGCAGCAAGACACAAAGCCACUUAGCAACCAAGGACGACGGAAAAGGUUUGGUUUUUGAAUUAAAAACCAGAUAUGAGGUGAAUUGAAUUGUUUCUUUAGCUUUUUUAUUCUAUACCCUAUACUCUUCCUUCAUUUCUAACAUUGCUAACGUGCACAUUCUCUUUGUAAUUGUCUCUAUUUGUUAACAUUUAUUUCAUAUAUUUUUUAUUUUGUCAUUUUUGUACUUUCUUUGAGGACGUCACUAACUUUGUUUCAGUUUCUUUCUUUGAUAAGGGUAGAGAAGCAAUAAGGACAGACAUGGUCCAACCAAACGAAUAGAGAAGACCAUUGCAAG